GCUAGGGCAGCGAUAAUGAAUGG
rnacentral:piRNA from 1 species